GUCUCCCUCUUCGAUUCGAGUCUUUUUAUUGUAACAAAAAAAAACAAAAACAGGCAACAAAAACAAUUCAGAGAAUAAAUAUUAUAAUUACAAUUACAAAGUGUCGUCUUUGAUUCCUAAAAAACAAGACAGCCAGAAAGUCCCACGUGGACUCGCAUAAGUGGUAAGAACUUGACUUAGACAUGAGGAACGCUUGGGCUCAAAACCUUAAACAUGAGGAGGUCUUGCGUUUAAGUCUUAUAAUUCGAUGUCUUUGAUUCCGCAGAAAAUAAGACCAACAAAUAGUCUCCUACUAAAGAAGGGCUGGCAUAAACGGCGCUUUGCUGUCUAGAGUCACGAAUUCGAUUAUCAUAAAUCUCAGGAUUACUAAAGAAUUACAUAAUUAUUAUUUUAGAAUUUGUAAAAUUAGUUAAGAUAUAUAUAAACUGAUCAAAUACAUGUAUACGUAUGUUGUUUUUUAGGGGCUUCCAAUCUUCAUGGUUUGGAAAUCUUGUUAGGCCUACUCUGCAUUAGUGUGGCUGCAUUUGUGUUUUUGAUUAGGAUACAUGGUCUUGGCUUAUUGUUUCAUUGAUUUGGGAGUGGUUCAGUUGAGGUUUUCGAAAGUUUCGGGGUUGCAUAUAUGAAUGGGAAAGGAUUCAAGAGUUGUGUGUGAUGUUCUCAUCCACCAAAUUUAUUCAGAACUUUCUAAGAAUGAACAUAUCACUUUAGAGUAAAAUUUAUUCAAAACUUUCUUCUCCAAUUAAUUAUCUUGGUUCAUUUGCACACCUAGUCUCACUGUUCUUCAAAGUAUUUGUUAAUAGUUUGUUCUUUACAUUAAUGGGGCUAGACCAAGAUUGGGCAGUGCAUCUACAUGGAUGUUUUCAAAUGGAAAGUUGAGGACCAUGUCAGCUAAUAUCAGUUAUGAUACCAACUCUACUUGCUUGCUCAAUGGCAUUUAGACUUAAAAUUGAGUAUUUUAAUGAGAUUGAACAGUUCUUGACUAUUCAGAUUAUACCUGCUUUUGUUUCAGGCAUGGGUCUAGGUGGAACUAGGAGUUGAUUCAUCUCCUUUUCUCAAGCAUAUAGCCUUUGUUAUGUUUGAAAUUCUCUAUUACAUAAAUCUUUCAGGUGGAAAACACUUCAGCUCCUUGAAGUUUAAGAUUUAGUCGCUGCGCAUUCAUGGAGUUUUCUGCAGCAGCACAAGGACGAAUUACUACCAGGCUUUAGCAGCUGACCACCCAUUUUGUCAAGGAUUUUGGCACAGCUUCAUGCUUGUACCAUCUCAGAUUCCAGCUCAUCAUCCCACUCGCAUACUGCUUUGUUUUUGUUCUGUACAUGCUUUUUUGUACCUUUUCCAGUGCCUCUUGCUGAACCAAAUGAGGCAUUGCCUGUGUGCUGCUGGAAAAACUCCUCAUCUGUCUUUUUUUUUUCCCUCUCAUUUUGUCGGUUUGCUCGACUUGGCUUCUUUAACUCAUUUCAUUUUUUCAAUCAACUGUCGCUAUUUUUUGGCUCAUGCAUUACGUUCUGUUUGUACAGACAUAAGUAGCUGUUAUGAGAUUAUGUCUACACAAAUAGUGCAGACCGUAACUUGUGUCUGGCUUUCUGCCAUCAAUGUCCAUGAAAGCUCCUAAAUCUGGAAGAGAAUUUUUUAAAUCCUGCAAAUAUGAAAGGAGAAGAGAAGUCUCGAGUUCUUGCUCUUCAAUAACCUUCGAUCACAAUCAAAACAUAAUUUUUAUUAUGCAUUUUGAGUACAACAACUUUUACUCUUUUCAAAACAAUACAAGUACCAUAUGACCAAAACCCCAAGCACAAAUUAUUAUGAGUAAAAACAUGAAAGCCACACCGAAUACACGCCUAUAUUAUCUCACACAAAAAAUAAAAAUAAAAAAGUAGAAAUUUUCAGAUUUAGGCAUCAGGAUUUGCCAAGAAGUAAGCUUCAACGACCUUGAACAAGGCCUCUGUCUUUUUGCCAUAUACGUCCUUGAUUUUAUCUUUGUUGAUCUCAC